UCCAGAAGUUCCACGACUUCCAGACUUCUACUGACCUACAUCUACAGAGAAAGAGGAACGAUCCGGAGAGAGAUAGAGAGAUCGGGUCUGAGAGAGAGCAAUCCAGAGAGAUAUCAAGGACGAUCCACAGAGAGAUAGAGAGAUCGGGUGCGUGUUUUUUGCUUUGUACACAGAGAGAGAGAGAGAGAGAGAUAGCUGAUAGUCACAAAAGGGGAUUUUCACCUCAUCAUCUGAGUACGAAGAUAAUUGUGCUUGGGUUUUGAAGAUAAUCGUGCUAGAUCAACCAGGAAUUUUGCUGGCAUAAUUUUGCAUACCUACUUUCUUCUACUGAUUUGGGGAAGUUGUGAGACCAUGGAGUAAGAAGGAAGCUAGAGACCAGAAUGAUCACAUACUGUGCAAGUUAAGCUAAGGACAAAUACAGAUCUUAUGGUCAGCAGACAGCAGUCAAUUUGAGUGCCUCCAACAUGGAUGAUGCUAAAGCCCGUGCUGCAAGUGCGCUUGAGGUCUCUGCUGUCAUUCACAGUUCUAAGUGUUGUCAACUGGAGUAUCUGCCUGUUUUUGCUUAGUUGAUUGGGUGUUGCUGUGUCUAGCGUGAGGGUAAUCAGUCAUACGAAGGACCACUAGAAGUAUGAGGAAAAAGCAGAUGACCCUUCAACAUGCACAGGGAAAAAUCAGCAUUGUUCAGUAUCACAGUUAAUGCUGGUAUGAGAAUAUAUCUAGCAUAAUAUAUUCAGAAAUUUGAGGACAUUCGGAAAGAAUUUACAUCAGCAGACUGACUUCAACUGAAUCAUAUCAUUCACAAGAUUUUGUUGACAGACAAGCUAUGUAAUACAUGGAUUCCACUUAUGAGACUGAAAUUGGUAGAACUUAAAAAUGGUAAUGAUGCAUUGAACCUCAGGAGCGAUCCAAGAUUUUGGUCAAUUUUUGAAGGAAGCUUUAGCUUUGUUUCAGAAGUAGCUGCUAAAAUUCAGUUAUCUAAAAUUCUGCUCUCGAGUGUUUUUCUUUCUAAAUUUUGUGUAUUAGUAUAUUAACAUCUGAAUGAAAAUAAUUAGGAAUGGAGAUCAAACUAA